rnacentral:tRNA from 1 species
GGCGGUAUAGCUCAGUUGGUAGAGCAGAGGAAUCAUACUCCUUUUGUCCGCGGUUCGAGUCCGUGUACCGCCACCA